rnacentral:rRNA from 1 species
GAUGAACGCUAGCUACAGGCUUAACACAUGCAAGUCGAGGGGUAACGAGAGGAAAGCUUGCUUUCCUUGUCGACGACCGGCGCACGGGUGAGUAACGCGUAUCCAACCUGCCCCCAACUAGGGAAUAACCUUGCGAAAGUAAGACUAAUACCCUAUAAUCUCCUCAGAUGUCAUCUGACGAGGAAUAAAGAUUUAUCGGUUGUGGAUGGGGAUGCGUCUGAUUAGCUUGUUGGCGGGGUAACGGCCCACCAAGGCAACGAUCAGUAGGGGUUCUGAGAGGAAGGUCCCCCACAGUGGAACUGAGACACGGGCCAAACUCCUACGGGAGGCAGCAGUGAGGAAUAUUGGUCAAUGGGCGGAAGCUUGAACCAGCCAAGUAGCGUGCAGGAUGACGGCCCUAUGGGUUGUAAACUGCUUUUAUACAGGAAUAAAGUUAGCCACGUGUGGUUAUUUGUAGGUACUGUAUGAAUAAGGACCGGCUAAUUCCGUGCCAGCAGCCGCCGUAA